CAGAGACUGACCCCCGCUUCUCAACUGCCAUCUCCACUCCCUGUCAUUCAGGGCAUGUCAAGGCCUCCCCAGUCCCUGCUGGUUGGUCAUCAGGGAGACACCGGUGGCCAAGGCAGGCUGGACGGUGGAGUGAGAGGCCAGGACUGUCCUCUGGCCUAGGUGCUGCCCGGGGGACAAGACCACACCAGGAGGGCCGGGAGCGAGAGCACCAGGGAGACUCGAACCCAGGCCUGGAGCCUGAAAGAGGCCGAAGGUCUCUGAGCAGCAUGUCCAGGGCAGGGGCUGGUGGCUCUGGGCUCACACUGCAGGCCUGGGGGCUCAGACACGUUGUGGAGAAGGUACGGUGUGCGUUCACGGGCUGCUGUGGCUGUGGCUGUGCGAGCUGUGCGUGUGGGCAUGGGUGGAGACAUUUUGCAUGGCCACGUGUGCACGGGUCAUAGGAGGCUUCUGGCCCUGACCUGCUCUGUGGUCACACACCACUCCCUGGGGCACUACCUUUCCCACCCUGCAUCAUUCCCGUGUCUGUUCAAACACCACUGGCUAGGCAUUGCCAGGACUGCCUGACCCUGCCUUGUGGGGACCAAGAACCAAUUCUCCCUCACUGUGCACCACCCAGCUCAACGCCCCCAGCCCACCAAGAAAGAGCAAGGCCAGCCUCCGGUCCCCCCUGCCCCUUCCUACCUGGGAUAGACAAUCAACGGGGAUGAAGCUCACAGCUUCAGCAAAGUAGUCUGGGACCAGUCCUCGCCCUUCCAGUAAUUUUAAUAAUGAUGAUGAUGACAAAAUCAUCUUCACCCAGGAGUUGGGUGGGUCUCAGUGAGUGGUACAAGCUAAUGGGGGUCUAUGGAUGUUAGCCACGAGCUCCCAUGGUCAGG
rnacentral:lncRNA from 1 species